rnacentral:rRNA from 1 species
AGAGUUUGAUCCUGGCUCAGAUUGAACGCUGGCGGUAUGCUUAACACAUGCAAGUCGAACGGAAACGAAACUAGCUUGCUAGUAGGCGUCGAGUGGCGGACGGGUGAGUAACGCGUAGGAAUCUGCCUGAUAGUGGGGGAUAGCCCGAAGAAAUUCGGAUUAAUACCGCAUAAUCUAUUCGUAGUAAAGUGGGGGACUUUCGAGCCUCACGCUAUCAGAUGAGCCUGCGUAAGAUUAGCUUGUUGGUAGGGUAAAAGCCUACCAAGGCAACGAUCUUUAGCUGGUCUGAGAGGAUGAUCAGCCACAUCGGGACUGAGACACGGCCCGAACUCCUACGGGAGGCAGCAGUGGGGAAUAUUGGACAAUGGGGUCAACCCUGAUCCAGCAAUACCGCGUGUGUGAAGAAGGCCUGAGGGUUGUAAAGCACUUUCAAUUGUGAAGAAAAGUUAACGGUUAAUAACCGUUGACCUUGACGUUAACUUUAGAAGAAGCACCGGCUAACUCCGUGCCAGCAGCCGCGGUAAUACGGAGGGUGCAAGCGUUAAUCGGAAUUACUGGGCGUAAAGCGUGCGUAGGCGGUUUAUUAAGUCAGAUGUGAAAGCCCCGGGCUUAACCUGGGAACUGCAUUUGAAACUGGUCAACUAGAGUAUGGUAGAGGAAAGUGGAAUUUCUGGUGUAGCGGUGAAAUGCGUAGAUAUCAGAAGGAACAUCAAUGGCGAAGGCAGCUUUCUGGACCAAUACUGACGCUGAGGUACGAAAGCGUGGGUAGCAAACAGGAUUAGAUACCCUGGUAGUCCACGCCGUAAACGAUGAUAACUAGCCGUUGGGGGGAUUUACCCCUUAGUGGCGAAGCUAACGCGUUAAGUUAUCCGCCUGGGGAGUACGGCCGCAAGGCUAAAACUCAAAGGAAUUGACGGGGACCCGCACAAGCGGUGGAGCAUGUGGUUUAAUUCGAUGCAACGCGAAGAACCUUACCUGGUCUUGACAUCCUGCGAACUUUCUAGAAAUAGAUUGGUGCCUUCGGGAACGCAGUGACAGGUGCUGCAUGGCUGUCGUCAGCUCGUGUCGUGAGAUGUUGGGUUAAGUCCCGUAACGAGCGCAACCCUUAUCCUUAUUUGCCAGCACAUUAUGGUGGGAACUAUAAGGAGACUGCCGGUGAUAAACCGGAGGAAGGCGGGGACGACGUCAAGUCAUCAUGGCCCUUACGACCAGGGCUACACACGUGCUACAAUGGGAAGGACAAAGAGCCGCGAAGCCGCGAGGUGUAGCUAAUCUCAUAAAUCUUUUCGUAGUCCGGAUUGGAGUCUGCAACUCGACUCCAUGAAGUCGGAAUCGCUAGUAAUCGUAGAUCAGAAUGCUACGGUGAAUACGUUCCCGGGUCUUGUACACACCGCCCGUCAUACCAUGGGAGUGGGUUGCACCAGAAGUGGCUAGUCUAACUUUGUGAGGACGGUCACCACGGUGUGAUUCAUGACUGGGGUAAAGUCGUAACAAGGUAACC